GCAGGUUGAGCAAUGCAGGUUGAGAAAGCAAAGAGGUGAGCAAGGCAGGUUGAGAAAGCUCCAUGCACACUGUCUGCAGAGAUAAUUUUUGGGGAUAUCCAAUGGCAAUAAAAGGGUGGCACUGUGUCAGUGAAUGCAAGAAGAUCUCGGGGCAGUACAGGCAAGGAAAGGAGAAAACAUGGACAGCAGCACCCUGAACAUUGAUGGCUCAUUUCUGCGUUGAAGGUAAAGCAAUAAUUGAAGACAAACUCAUGCCAAUCACAAUGAUAU
rnacentral:lncRNA from 1 species